ensembl:snRNA U6 U6 spliceosomal RNA
GUGCUCAUUUCAGCAGCACAUAUACUACAAUUGGAAUGAUACAGAGAAGAUUAGCAUGGUCCCUGCGCAAGGAUGACAUACCAAUUUGUGAAGCGUUCCAUAUUAAA